GAACCCAACUGGGAACCCAACUGGAAGGGUCUUGGUCAACUGGGAGAGUCUUGGUCAACUGGGAGAGUCUUGGUCAACUGGAAGGGUUCUUGGUCAACUGGAAGGGUUCUUGGUCAACUGGGAGAGUCUUGGUCAACUGAGAGAGUCUUGGCCAACUGGGAGAGUCUUGGCCAACUGGAAGGGUUCUUGGUCAACUGGAAGGGUCUUGACCACCUGGAAGGCUCUUCCCCCCUCUCACCAUGUCCCCUCCCUCCUCCCCCCCCCUCAGCCAUCACGCCGGUGCCGCCCCAAGUCUACGUCUUCCCCCCUCCAUCGGAGGAGCUGGCGCGCGGCGAGACGGUGACCCUGACGUGCCUGGUCAGCGGCUUCUUCCCCGCCGACGUCCUCCUGACCUGGAACCAGCAGGACCGGCCGGUGGAGCGGAGCCGCUACCUCCUCUUCGGCCCCCGGCCCGACGGCAGCGCCGACGACGACGCCGGCACCUUCUCCCUCUACAGCAAGCUGAGCGCCGGCGCCGAGGACUGGCGGCGCGGCGACGUCUUCACCUGCGUGGUGGGGCACGACGGGGUGGACGGGGCGGUGAAGUUCGUGCAGAGGAGCCUGGACAAGAGCGUGGGGCGGCCCCAGAACGUCAACGUGUCGGUGGUGGUGGCCGACUCCGACGUCACCUGCUACUGACGCCGG